UACGUAGGAUGCGAGCGUUAAUCGGAAUUACUGGGCGUAAAGCGUGCGCAGGCGGUUCGUUAAGUCAGAUGUGAAAGCCCCGGGCUCAACCUGGGAACUGCAUUUGAAACUGGCGGGCUUGAGUGCGGCAGAGGGGGGUGGAAUUCCGCGUGUAGCAGUGAAAUGCGUAGAGAUGCGGAGGAACACCGAUGGCGAAGGCAGCCCCCUGGGCCGACACUGACGCUCAGGCACGAAAGCGUGGGGAGCAAACAGG
rnacentral:rRNA from 1 species